rnacentral:misc_RNA from 1 species
GAUGAAGAACGCAGCGAAAUGCGAUAAGUAAUGUGAAUUGCAGAAUUCAGUGAAUCAUCGAAUCUUUGAACGCACAUUGCGCCCGCCAGUAUUCUGGCGGGCAUGCCUGUCCGAGCGUCAUUUCAACCCUCGAACCCCUCCGGGGGGUCGGCGUUGGGGACCUCGGGAGCCCCUAAGACGGGAUACCGGCCCCGAAAUACAGUGGCGGUCUCGCCGCAGCCUCUCCUGCGCAGUAGUUUGCACAACUCGCACCGGGAGCGCGGCGCGUCCACGUCCGUAAAACACCCAACUUCUGAAAUGUUGACCUCGGAUCAGGUAGGAAUACCCGCUGAACUUAAGCAUAUCAAUAAGCGGAGGA